rnacentral:misc_RNA from 1 species
GUUCUUUUGGCUUCUACGCGAGCAGGACAACAGAGGGAUAAAGAUUUGCAGAGGGAAGCUGAUACAUAACUCAGAACCCUUCUUUCCCAACUUCCAUUAAAUUUGAUUUUUCUUUCUAUCCAUCAAUUCCUUUCUCUCUUUAUAACUCCCAAAAGGUUCCUGAUGAGAAUUAUCGGUUUCGAUAGGGGAGUGAUUGAAGAAGCAGCUUUCUUUGGUUUAAGGGGCUAAGAUGCCAUCUGGGUUCCUCGUGAAGCUGAAUUUUGGAUUUACGACGGCGAUAAUUGCUAGAAAUUCAGCUUCUUUAUUAUCCAAUAACCCUGCUCGAUUUUCAGUAAAGCGUUCUCUUGGUGCAUAUUCUAUGGCUGCCUCUAGUUCUAAGCCUGUGUUUGGUGAUGUUCAUAUUGAUGAUAUUAUUACCACUUGUGGAAAUGUAUUGGAAUUUUCGAAACCUAGCGGUGUUUAUUUCGCGGAUAGAAGUCGAGCCACUUGCCUAAAAGCGAGCAUGAGAAUGAGAAAUGGGGAGCUGCCUAAUAGUCGUCUGAUUUGUGGGUACUCUUCGUUUGAUGCGAGUAAUUUUGUUCUUGGAUCAUUUUCGAAAAACUUCCGUACCAUGCCUUCUUCGCAAUUCUCUGCUGGGGCUGCUCGUGAUGUGUCAUUUGAUGGGAAUUCUCGUGAGGAACAGCUGGCAAACUCCACUGUGGUAUCUGGCCAAACCUUGAAGCUACUCUCAGGAUCAUGUUACUUGCCACAUCCUGAUAAGGAAGAAACAGGUGGGGAAGAUGCUCACUUUAUAUGUGCAGAUCAACAAGCCAUUGGUGUGGCAGAUGGAGUAGGCGGCUGGGCAGAUGUAGGAAUUAAUGCAGGAGAAUAUGCAAGGGAGCUUAUGUCUAAUUCGGUAAGUGCAAUUCAAGAGGAGCCCGUGGGUUCAGUAGACCCAGCCAAGGUGCUAGAGAAGGCACACUCGAGCACAAAGGCUAAGGGUUCGUCAACAGCCUGCAUCAUUGCCCUUACAAAUGAGGGAAUACAUGCUGUUAAUCUAGGAGACAGUGGAUUUAUGGUAGUCAGAGAUGGAUGCACUGUAUUCCAAUCCCCAGUGCAGCAGCAUGGCUUCAAUUUUACAUACCAACUAGAGAGUGGCAGCAGUAGUGAUCUACCCAGCUCUGGCCAGGUUUUCACAUUUCCUGUUUCUCCGGGUGAUGUAAUAAUUGCUGGAACAGACGGAUUAUUUGACAACUUGUAUAACAAUGAGGUUACUGCUGUUGUUGUUCAUGCGGUAAGAGCUGGGUUAGGGCCUCAAGUAACAGCCCAGAAGAUUGCGGCUAUGGCACGUCAACGGGCACAAGAUAGGAACCGACAAACACCUUUUUCUUCUGCUGCUCAAGAUGCUGGAUUCCGCUACUAUGGUGGCAAACUUGAUGAUAUCACUGUUGUUGUGUCAUACAUAGCAAUCUCUAACAAAGUGUGAUCAGGUCUUGGCUGCAACCAAUUUCUUGUGCCUUAAUGCAUGCACUCUUUUAAUGGCUGGAAAAGCCCUGUAGCUGUCCUUGUGCCGAGAAACCUAGCAUAGCAAGCCAUUUAUUAAUGCUUACGUGUAUCUUUGAUCACUCUUUUUUAAUUGAUGAAACACUGAAUCUUU